AGCUGCACAACAAGAUGAGGCUGGUCAUUGUCAUUUUCUGAGCUGUGAACGGGCAGGAAGCUGCACAACAAGAUGAGGCUGGUCAUUGUCAUUUUCUGAGCUGUGAACGGGCAGGAAGCUGCACAACGAGAUGAGGCUGGUCAUUGUCAUUUUCUGAGCUGUGAAUGGGCAGGAAGGUG